CAGUCGCCACGGUAAUACGAAGGGGGCUAGCGUUGUUCGGAUUUACUGGGCGUAAAGCGCACGUAGGCGGGCUUUUAAGUCAGGGGUGAAAUCCCGGGGCUCAACCCCGGAACUGCCUUUGAUACUGGAAGUCUUGAGUAUGGAAGAGGUGAGUGGAAUUCCGAGUGUAGAGGUGAAAUUCGUAGAUAUUCGGAGGAACACCAGUGGCGAAGGCGGCUCACUGGUCCAUUACUGACGCUGAGGUGCGAAAGCGUGGGGAGCAAACAGGAUUAGAUACCCCUGUAGUCCCUGUCUCUUAUAC
rnacentral:rRNA from 1 species